GCAAGUGUGGUGGAAUAGGCAGACACGCAGGCUUGAGGGGUCUGUGGUAGAAAUACCGUGAGGGUUCGAAUCCCUCCACUUGCACCA
rnacentral:tRNA from 1 species